AUCCGCCAACACUGGGACUGAGACACUGCCCAGACUCCUACGGGAGGCUGCAGUCGAGAAUCUUUCGCAAUGGGCGCAAGCCUGACGAAGCGACGCCGUGUGGAUGAUGACAGCUUUCGGGUUGUAAAGUCCUUUCGCUUGGGAGCAAGAGAAAUUAGCUAAUAACUAAUAAUUUGAGAGUACCAGGUAAAGAAGCACCGGCUAACUCC
rnacentral:rRNA from 1 species